UACGAAGGGGGCUAGCGUUGCUCGGAAUCACUGGGCGUAAAGCGCACGUAGGCGGCUUUCUAAGUCAGGGGUGAAAUCCUGGAGCUCAACUCCAGAACUGCCUUUGAUACUGGAGAGCUUGAGUCCGGGAGAGGUGAGUGGAACUCCGAGUGUAGAGGUGAAAUUCGUAGAUAUUCGGAAGAACACCAGUGGCGAAGGCGGCUCACUGGCCCGGUACUGACGCUGAUGUGCGAAAGCGUGGGGAGCAAACAGGG
rnacentral:rRNA from 1 species